AAGUUGAGAAAUGAAGACAUUCUUCAUGAGCAUGCCCUAACCCGAAACAUCAGGACUGGAGUCUUGCUGCCGCAUUGCCAUUUAGUUUAAAUAGCUGGCACGUGAUUAAGGCACUGAGUCUCAGUACUCACCGCUGAGUGUGUUCUGAAGUAGGAUAUUCUACACUCUGGGUAACAGCACGAUGAGCAGCCUUACUGAGUAUUCUUCGUGACCGUAACAAACACAUGCCCCUUCAGUGUUCACUGCUUGCUCCUGCCUACAAAGCACGUACUCCAUUGCCAUGCCUGACCAGUGACUGUUUCACUGUAGUACACGUCUGUUUCUGGCAAGGAGGAGAAAGG
rnacentral:lncRNA from 1 species